GUGGUUGUAGCUCAGUGGUAGAGCGCCUGCCUAGCAUGUGUGAGGCACUGGGUUCAAUCCUCAGCACCACA
rnacentral:tRNA from 1 species